rnacentral:rRNA from 1 species
UACGGGGGGAGCAAGCGUUGUUCGGAUUUACUGGGCGUAAAGGGCGGGUAGGCGGCCACCGCAAGUCGACUGUGAAAUCUCCGGGCUUAACCCGGAAAGGUCAGCCGAUACUGCGGGGCUAGAGUGCAGAAGGGGCAACUGGAAUUCUCGGUGUAGCGGUGACAUGCGUAGAUAUCGAGAGGAACACCUGCGGCGAAGGCGGGUUGCUGGGCUGACACUGACGCUGAACUGCGAAAGCUAGGGGAGCGAACAGG